rnacentral:rRNA from 1 species
AUUGAACGCUGGCGGAAUGCCUUACACAUGCAAGUUGAGCGGCAGCGCGGGGCAACCUGGCGGCGAGCGGCGAACGGGUGAGUAAUACAUCGGAACGUACCCAGUUGUGGGGGAUAGCCCGGCGAAAGCCGGAUUAAUACCGCAUACGACCUGAGGGUGAAAGUGGGGGAUCGCAAGACCUUACGCAGUUGGAGCGGCCAAUGGCGGAUUAGCUAGUUGGUAGGGUAAAGGCCUACCAAGGCGACGAUCCGUAGCGGGUCUGAGAGGACGACCCGCCACACUGGAACUGAGACACGGUCCAGACUCCUACGGGAGGCAGCAGUGGGGAAUUUUGGACAAUGGGGGCAGCCCUGAUCCAGCCAUUCCGCGUGAGUGAAGAAGGCCUUCGGGUUGUAAAGCUCUUUCGGCAGGAACGAAACGGCGGGCUCUAACAUAGCCUGCUAAUGACGGUACCUGAAGAAGAAGCACCGGCUAACUACGUGCCAGCAGCCGCGGUAA